AUUCUAUUCCUUCUUUUCGGGUCGGAUCACUUCGGAUCGGGUAAACUUUUCGGGUCAUGGGCUUCGGACUUCACUAUGUUACAUGGCUUUGAAUGUGCAAUUAAAUAUUGUUUAUGUGUUUUACUUUCAGAUUAUCUUGUCUGAUCUGAUCAUUGACCUUUGAGAAUUGAGACUUCCUUUUCUAUAAACACCAUCUGAUUUUAAAUCAGAAGAAAUCAAAGAGGAGAAAUGACGAAGAUACAGCUCCAUGGAAGAAGCAGGUCUCCAGGUAUUAUAUGUUUGAUCUUUGUUUUUACUUUUAGAUUUUCUUGUCUGAUCUGAUCUUAUCAUUGACCUUUGAAAAUUGAGAGUUUUCUUCUUCUAUAUAAGCAACAGCUAAUUUAAAAUCAUAACAAAUCAAAAGAGGAGAAAUAACGAAGAUACUGCUCCAUGGUAGAAGCAGCAGGUUUGCUGCAGGUGUUAUAUGUUUGAAAAUAUAGUUAAUACUAAUAUGUUAUUGCAUUGUGAAUAAUGUAUAUUGAAAAACAUACAUGAAAAACAACUGAUGUCUGAUAACCACAAACGUAUAUGAAAGUAAACUGUAGAUUGGUAUAAAUUUAUAAUUCUUAUGAGAAUUAUUUGCUUUUUAACAAAAGAAUGGGUACAUGUUUCUUUAGAGAAGAUUUACUGUAACAUCAAAAAGGUAGACACCACCCACAACAUAAGAUCGAUUGAUGGGUUUUAUCUAGUCUAAUAAAAACUUAAUCUAAAUAGAAAAGUGUAACUAUCUUUCUCAGUUUCUUUGCUUCUCGACAUGUCUCCAUGAGCAAUUUGCUAUCAUGGAAGGCAAAGCAUAUUACUUGUUGUACUUGUGAAAGGAUGUUCAUAUUGCAAAGUCUGCACAACCAUAAAAACAUAGCAUCAAAUUCAUAUAUUAUGCACAUCAAAACAGCAGGUAUAUCAAGUCCUUUAAGCUUAUAUUGCAUUAACCAAGAUAAUCUCCUGAUAAAAUUUGAUUAUAUAAGAUAAAUUCUGGAUAAAAAUAGCUCAUCAAAUGCAAAAUACGAGAAGCUUUCAUGUAUACGACCCUAACCAAGGAAGUUCUAUGAUUCCAUACACAUGGUUAUAGGAUCUCUCAUGAUAGGAGAAGCUUCAGACAAGGACAACGAUAAUAUUUAAAAAAAAUCAUAUAUUUCUUUUAUUUAAAGUUAGCACUUCGUAGGCUAAACUUUUAUUGCAAUAAUUUAAAGAUGUAUAUCAGUAUAUGCAUUAAUGAGAAUAAUAAUUAAUAGGAAAUAAGAAAAUAUCAUGUUUUGAUUCCCUUUCAAGACUCUUAUCAACCACUUUCAUAAAAAAUUAAUACUUACAUUGACUAAAAGCUUCCUCUAGUCACACAAGCCCUAGUAUGAUAAUAUAAAUCCUAGAAUGACUGCACAAACCAAUAAACCAUAGUAGGAACUGCACAGAAUCUUGUUAUUGUUUCCAUAUCAUAACAAGAACUACAUACUAAGACAGACCCCUACCCGAAAUCCCGGAUCUGCAUUAUGAUUCGCCCAUCGCGUGAGAUUUGGCCACCAGAUGGCCACAUAUGCAUUCAAUCAAUUGGAGAUUUUAUUGACCCUCCCGUAAUUGUGUAUUCAUGGCUGGAGUCAAUCUAAUGAAAAUUUGUUGCCAUAAUAUUUUGGCUCAUCUAGAACCACAUUCCUUUUGCGAUUUAUAACAUUGAGGUACAAAUCAAAAAAUGACUGCAAUAUCGACAACCCUCAGCACCUGUUCGGCAUUCCAUAAAAAUCAAAAGUUCAUGAUGUGUAACUACAUUCAAGAAUAUAAUUUGUGCGAUCAUCGACGAGCUUUUACAUGCACUCUAGAUGUUGUCUCUUCAAGCGUUGGGGGGAUUAGACAGAUUCGGAUCGAAUCCGCCUAAUCAUUUAAAAAUUUAUUAGUCAAAUUAUUAUUAAAAAUAAAAGGUAAAAGGAAAAAGGAAAAAAUCAAAUUACGAUUUUUUCCAUAUUUUUGGUGUCCUCUGUCAGUUCAACACUUUAUGAAGCAUCCAUAAAGCCUCCGACAGACUUUCGCACUUAUAUUCUGAAAAUACAGUCACUUAUAUGUAAAACUGUAAAUUUUUUAAAUACUCGAAAAUACAAGGUAAUAUUUGCAAAUUACCCAUAUUUUUUGACUCAUGCAGUUAGCUUUAUAGAUUUGCAAAUUACCCAUAUUUUUCAUGUGCCGUUUAAGCGACUCAUGCGAUCAGCUUCAUAGCAUGACUUCCUAUAAAAACUCGAUGUUUACAUGGGUAUGGAUAACGAAGCCCCACGUGUUUGUGGAUGAGUAGUAAGUCACUUUGGCCCACAUGAUUGUCUAACUAAGUAACUAACUGAUAACUGCCUCUCAUUUGGACCUAUUGGAGGUCAGAUAUCUUUAAUCCAAUAUCAUAGAGAUUGGUCAUAAGUGCUUUGCGAGUUUGCGAGUUAUUGGACAUCUGACAGUUGUGAGAACUGAGAGCUAGUUUAUAUGGACAUCCCUUAUAUUGAACUAUCCUACAACCCUCAUAUCAAACCUAUGCUACUCUUUUUGGCUGUUUUCAUAUGCUCCUUUACUGUCACCAAAUGGAUAAAUGAACAGAUUUGUGGGUUUUCUUCAUUUCUUCCUCAAGACAAGAUGACCUCGAGGAUAAACUUGGCAUCACCCAAUUUCACGAUCAAUGGAUCUACUUUUAGUACAAUAAUACAAUUUCAAAGAGCCUAUGUAGUUGUUGUUGAGGAUGAGGAAUGGCUAAAACAUUUGGGAUCACCAGGUUGCCAACUGUACUUAAUUGUAUUCAAUGACACUUGAUAAUUGAUAUGCUAAUUCCAAAAGAAUUAAAGUACAAUACCAUGACAACAACUUCUCUUCAGAAUUCAGAUGAGACGUGACGAUUGUUAAUGAUACAAUCCAACUACACAUGUACAACUCAAACCCCCAAAACGGUAGGCCACUACAUAUAGAGCUCACCCAAGUACUUCCAAGAUGACCUCAAGAGAAACAUAAUUUUCUGAGAGGAGAAGUUAAGAAAGUUCAUCUGGAAAUAUACCAUGAUUGAUAAAUAAUCUGAAAUUUCUAAUUCCAGAUUUUUCUAUUUUAUUAAAAGUUACUAGAUUUAGAUUUCCUUAGAAUUAUUUGAAAAGGUACAUGCAUGAAAGAUAAUAAUAAGAAAUAUUGAUUUUUAAUUUCCUCAUUAAAAUCCCAUACAUCCACUCACACUGACACACCCUUCCUCAUCAUAAAAUGGAAAAGAUGUUUUACAAUUGAAUCAAGUAAAGUAAUAAACUAUGGACGGACAACUUGUAUAAUGAACUUUCUUUCAAAAAAAAACUUGUAUGAUGAACGUACAAUGUGAUUUUCUCCAAAUAUUGUUUCCAAAGGUGCAUGACUGCAUGCCCUUGUUAGAUUCAAAUUUAUAAUAUUCAAUAAAAAAUAAUAUGAGGAUCGAUUUAAUAUGUUCUACUUAUUUCAAAGAAAUUUUAAUUAAACAGAAAAAAAAGUUUUAUACCUGCUAGCUUCAAUCAAUGGGAGGUGAUCAUUUUGGGGUUUCUCAAUGAGAUUUUUCACCUAUAAAAAAAGUAGAACAACGUCAAACAGAAGCUCACUUUAAAUUUUAGAAAGCUAUUUCAAAGAAGUAGAUAUAGGAAUAAACCGGAAAAAAUAAAAGGAUAUUUUGGUUAUAAAACUAGCAAUCUUAUUUAUCUUCUUGUAUAUCUGAAGAUUAUUAAAUCCACAGGAAUAUAUGUUGUACAAAAAGAAAUGGAUGAAAAAUUACAGUGCAGGAACUUACUUUUGCUAAUAAUUCUUGACUCUCUGGAGAUUGCUUUUUCAGACUUUGAGGUAAAAUUACAGUGAGAAGCUCCGGUUUUUCAGCUCUUAAGGCUCCUCUAAUGACUGCUGCAUUUGUUCCUGAUGCUCCAGAGGUGUAU
rnacentral:lncRNA from 1 species